rnacentral:rRNA from 1 species
UGGGGAAUAUUGCACAAUGGGCGCAAGCCUGAUGCAGCCAUGCCGCGUGUGUGAAGAAGGCCUUCGGGUUGUAAAGCACUUUCAGCGGGGAGGAAGGCGAUAAGGUUAAUAACCUUGUCGAUUGACGUUACCCGCAGAAGAAGCACCGGCUAACUCCGUGCCAGCAGCCGCGGUAAUACGGAGGGUGCAAGCGUUAAUCGGAAUUACUGGGCGUAAAGCGCACGCAGGCGGUCUGUCAAGUCGGAUGUGAAAUCCCCGGGCUUAACCUGGGAACUGCAUUCGAAACUGGCAGGCUAGAGUCUUGUAGAGGGGGGUAGAAUUCCAGGUGUAGCGGUGAAAUGCGUAGAGAUCUGGAGGAAUACCGGUGGCGAAGGCGGCCCCCUGGACGAAGACUGACGCUCAGGUGGGAAAGCGUGGGGAGCAAACAGG